rnacentral:rRNA from 1 species
UACGUAGGGCGCAAGCGUUGUCCGGAAUUAUUGGGCGUAAAGAGCUCGUAGGCGGUCUGUUACGUCUGCUGUGAAAACCCGGGGCUUAACCCUGGGCUUGCAGUGGAUACGGGCAGACUAGAGGCAGGUAGGGGAGAAUGGAAUUCCCGGUGUAGCGGUGAAAUGCGCAGAUAUCGGGAGGAACACCGGUGGCGAAGGCGGUUCUCUGGACAGUUCCUGACACUGAGGCACGAAGGCCAGGGGAGCAAACGGG